UACGUAGGGGGCAAGCGUUGUCCGGAUUUAUUGGGCGUAAAGCGCUCGCAGGUGGUUCGUCGCGUCGUGCGUGAAAGACCCCGGCUCAACUGGGGGAUGUCGUGCGAUACGGGCGGACUGGAGGCCAGUAGGGGGAUGCGGAAUUCCGGGUGUAGUGGUGGAAUGCGUAGAGAUCCGGAGGAACACCAGCGGCGAAGGCGGCAUCCUGGACUGGUCCUGACACUCAGGAGCGAAAGCGUGGGGAGCGA
rnacentral:rRNA from 1 species